rnacentral:rRNA from 1 species
CCUACGGGGGGCAGCAGUGAGGAAUAUUGGUCAAUGGGCGAGAGCCUGAACCAGCCAAGUCGCGUGAAGGAUGACGGCCCUACGGGUUGUAAACUUCUUUUGUCAGGGAGCAAUUGGGUCCACGCGUGGGCUUAGCGAGAGUACCUGAAGAAAAAGGAUCGGCUAACUCCGUGCCAGCAGCCGCGGUAAGACGGAGGAUCCGAGCGUUAUCCGGAUUUAUUGGGUUUAAAGGGGCCGUAGGCGGACGGUUAAGUCAGCGGUAAAAGCUCGGGCCUCAACCCCGGCGAGCCGUUGAAACUGGCUGUCUUGAGAAGUCGAGAGGUAUGCGGAAUGCGAAGUGUAGCGGUGAAAUGCUUAGAUAUCGCGAAGAACUCCGAUUGCGAAGGCAGUACACCGGCGGCGAUCUGACGCUGAGGCACGAAAGCGUGGGUAUCGAACAGGAUUAGAUACCCGAGUAGUC